GACGAACCGUGCGAACGUUGUUCGGAAUCACUGGGCUUAAAGGGCGCGUAGGCGGGUUCGCAAGUCUGUGGUGAAAGCCUCCAGCUUAACUGGAGAAGUGCCGUGGAUACUGCGAAUCUUGAGGAGGGUAGGGGCGUCUGGAACGGUCGGUGGAGCGGUGAAAUGCGUUGAUAUCAACCGGAACUCCGGUGGCGAAGGCGAGGCGCUGGACCCUUUCUGACGCUGAGGCGCGAAAGCGUGGGGAGCAACAGGG
rnacentral:rRNA from 1 species